rnacentral:rRNA from 1 species
GAUGAACGCUGGCGGCGUGCCUAAUACAUGCAAGUCGAACGAACAGACGAGGCGGUUGCUUCUCUCACGUUAGCGGCGGACGGGUGAGUAACACGUGGAUAACCUACCUAUAUGACUGGGAUAACCUCGGGAAACCGGAGCUAAUACCGGAUAAUAUAUUGAACCGCAUGGUUGGAUAGUGAAAGACGGUUUUGCUGUCACUUAUAGAUGGAUCCGCGCCGCAUUAGCUAGUUGGUAAGGUAACGGCUUACCAAGGCGACGAUGCGUAGCCGACCUGAGAGGGUGAUCGGCCACACUGGAACUGAGACACGGUCCAGACUCCUACGGGAGGCAGCAGUAGGGAAUCUUGCGCAAUGGGCGAAAGCCUGACGGAGCAACGCCGCGUGAGUGAUGAAGGCCUUCGGAUCGUAAAACUCUGUUAUUGGGGAAGAACAAAUGUGUAAGUAACUAUGCACGUAUUGACGGUACCUAAUCAGAAAGCCACGGCUAACUACGUG